UGCCUUGUAAAGGCUUCAAAAGACCACAAUCUGCCUUUAGCCAAGGACAUUCCAUUGAAGCAGAAACAUUCCAAUUCGAAAACAAAGGCUUCAAUUGAAGCAAAUUCGCCCAACUUCAACAAAUCCAAGCAAGUUUCAUUCCAAUUUCAGAAGCAGAGGCUUUAUUUUCUUGUUCCGACAUAUUUCACGGAAGCUUCACUUCGCUUCGAUCAUAUAAUUCAAGGAACUGGUAUGUUAAGGCCCUCCCUUCUUUCUUUUAGCAUGGUCCAAAUUAUACUGAAGAAACGAGCAAACACACAGUUUUCAUAAAUUACUCUACUCAUAGAAUUAUUAGGGUGUCUAUAUUCUUGAUUCCCCAUGAAAAUUAUUAUUAUUUUUUGUUCAUGGGUCUCAGAAUAAUACGCAGUUCAAAAAAAUUUAUCCGGAAGGAAUAUUUAGAUUCUUACGUAUUUUUCAUGCAUUUCAUACAUGUGCAUUGACCCAUGAUCAGAUGGCGUUAUAUACACGUAUAUAUGUAAAUAUAUGUAUAUGGGAUAUGGGAAAAGGUUAAGGCGUUAUAUAUGCACCGCCACCUGAUCAGGUGGUAUAUGUUGAUGAUGUUGCCCACAGUGGCCGAGACGAUAUGAUGGGAUGCCCGCAGUGGCUUCAUGAUAUUAUGUACACCCAUACCUAUGCAUGGCACAACAUUUAUACGCAUGUUCAUGACAUUAUAAAUGUUUCAAAAUUUAUAAAGUUAUUCAGAUUUAAAGAUGUGUUUCUAUAUUACAUGUUUCAUCUACGUCUUUUAAGUACUAAUUAUCAUGCCUUACAUACUCAGUGCAUUUUUCGUACUGACACCCUAUUUCACGGGGCCUACGUUUCAUGCCCGCAGGUGCAGGUAGGCAAGUUGGUGGUCCCCCUUCUUAGGAUCCCUGAUCAGCGAGNNN
rnacentral:lncRNA from 1 species